AUGAACUGCUUUACCAGGACACAUUUUCUAAGGACUCUGUUAAUACUUCUUGCAUGUUGUUUAGAAUGUCGAGGAAAGGACACAGUUUUCCAGUCAAGAAGACAGCAGUGGGCAUCUGAAAGAGAAACAGUAACUUUAGAUUGUGAAUAUAACACCACAGCUCAAAAUCCAACUCUGCUGUGGUACCAACAGGAAGAUCAUCACUCUCCAAAAUAUAUUUUGCUGACAAAUUCAUAUGGAGCUGAAGAUACAGCAGCAGAGUUCAGAAAGAGAUUUCACUCCAAACUAUCCGGUACAACAGCUCCACUGACGAUCCAGAAGCUGAGUGUGAGUGACUCUGCUGUGUAUUACUGCGCUCUGCAGCCCACUGUGACUACAUAA